CUAUGCGCCUUGCCAGCCCGCUCAGUCAGAGUUUGAUCCUGGCUCAGAACGAACGCUAUCGGUAUGCUUAACACAUGCAAGUCGAACGGACUAAUUGGGGCUUGCUCCAAUUAGUUAGUGGCAGACGGGUGAGUAACACGUGGGAAUCUGCCCAUCAGUACGGAAUAACUUUUAGAAAUAAAAGCUAAUACCGUAUAUUCUCUACGGAGGAAGAUUUAUCGCUGAUGGAUGAGCCCCGCGUCAGAUUAGGUAGUUGGUGAGGUAAUGGCUCACCAAGCCUACGAUCUGUAGCUGGUCUGAGAGGAUGAUCAGCCACACUGGGACUGAGACACGGCCCAG
rnacentral:rRNA from 1 species